UGGGGGAUAUUGCACAAUGGGCGAAAGCCUGAUGCAGCGACGCCGCGUGGGGGAUGAAGGCUUUCGGGUUGUAAACCUCUUUCGCUAUCGAACAAGGCCCGCUUAGGGUGGGUUGAGGGUAGGUGGAGAAGAAGCGCCGGCUAACUACGUGCCAGCAGACGCGGUAAUACGUAGGGCGCGAGCGUUGUCCGGAAUUAUUGGGCGUAAAGGGCUUGUAGGCGGCUUGUUGCGCCUGCUGUGAAAACGCGGGGCUUAACUUCGCGCGUGCAGUGGGUACGGGCAGGCUUGAGUGUGGUAGGGGUGACUGGAAUUCCAGGUGUAGCGGUGGAAUGCGCAGAUAUCUGGAGGAACACCGAUGGCGAAGGCAGGUCACUGGGCCAUUACUGACGCUGAGGAGCGAAAGCAUGGGUAGCGAACAGG
rnacentral:rRNA from 1 species